rnacentral:snoRNA from 1 species
UUUCCAUAGGAAACAGUGAGAAACAGUUUUAGAAAACAGUUUAAGAUUUGCCAGUAUGCAGCUGCCUCUCUUCAUCAGGCUCUGGGAGUGCUGUGAUGGUCAGAAGGGCAGCUGACACUCUGUGAUGUCCCCAUUCUGUAUUCCUUGGUGAGCUCAAGGAAGAUGCUGUGGUUGGCAUCCAGCAACUUAGUCACAUAGGGGUUUGGUCGUUGGGAGUGCUGGUAUCUGUGGCCAUGAUCUGACUUUUCAAGCUGAGACA